rnacentral:ncRNA from 1 species
GAUUGCGGGAGAGCGCGGUAGGCGCACCGAAGGCGUAAGUUCUCUGUCCCCGGCCAGGGCGGAGGGCGAUUAUCUCAGGUAAACGGACCGCAAUC